rnacentral:lncRNA from 1 species
UCGGCUCAGGGGGCGGUGCAGUUGGCAUCUCAACUUGCCCUAAACAUUCAUUAAGUCCCAGACCAGUUUCUUGCAUGAAUUUCAAUACUUCUGCUUGUUGAUCCAAGGGCAUUGCUGCUACCCUUUGAGCGACUUUUUUGGAUAAAUGCCCGAGGUCGGGGAAAGCACCACUGGAAGACGACUUUCCUUUCCUUUUGUCCUUGUCAUCAGCCUUUACUAAAGCCCGUUCAUAGUUUGAUAAGAGUGGUAUCCAUUUCUUGGCUCCUUCUUCCAUCCCG